GGGGGGAGGCCGGAUCCUGGGCUGUGUCCCGGCGCCCUGUGCUCCGGGGCCUGCGCUGGAUUCGUGCUCCCGGGCCGCGCAGCCCCCU
rnacentral:pre_miRNA from 1 species